GGUGGGAUCGUGCUCGGCCUCCGGCAUUAUGGGGUCUCGGGAGCGUGCGGAAGGCCAGGGCCCGACCCCGGCCGCAGACGCCCUCCCGCAGGCUCCCCUUCCGCGCUGGCCGGCCCGCAGCGUCCUGAUGGGUGGUGAGUGGAUUGCGCGGGUGCCUGGCCGCCUUCAUGUGGGACCACGAGGGUAAUGAUGACCUUAGGUGAUUCUGAGUGCCAUCGCUGACGCCAUCACCGCAGCGCGCUGACCGCCCUCUGCCCCCGAGGGGUUGCAGGACCGCCCUCUCCCGUGUUAUCCGUGAGCAAAGAUGUGUAGAGAUACUGACUGCAUCCGCUGGUUUACUGGCAAAAUGACCGCAGCAGCCAGGUCUGGGUCAAAGCUGGGAACCUGGAAUUCAGUCUUGGAGUCCAUGUGGAAGAUGAACGCUUCAAUUAUCUUUCCGGGUAUAUUUGGCUUUAGUUGUCAGGAGCAGAGUGGUCAGGGUUAGUACUCUGAUGGGAUGCUGUCAUAAAUCAAAAAGCAGGUUAUCCUACCCCACAAUGUAAGCCCCAGCCCCUCGCUGGAACUCACACUGGAUCCAUUUCCUACUUUGGCUGCCCUGAUCCAA